UGAGGGCAAACUGAAGACUUUUUUUAUUAAGAAAAUUUAAGGAAUAAAAUAAAGGGAACACAGUAUUUCAAUGUUCUCUAAGUGUAAACGUUUAAGGAGCACACACGGAGUUGUAUUAGCAACUGUUUGAAAAUAUAACCCUCAUUGCAUGUUUCAUAAAUUGCAAAUGUCUAACGAUUCUUAAAUCAAUAUUCAUACAAAAUGGCAUAUAGGAAAGAUGCAUAGUUUGUGUAUUAAGCGUAAAAUCAAGCAAUUUCUCAGAAAACAAGACUCAACGGUCCGGUUUCACAAAUGGGGCUUAGCUUAAGCCAGGACUAGGCCUUACUUAAUUUAAGAUAUUUAAGCAACUUUUACAAAAUUGCCUUAGAAGAAAACAUUAAGCUGUGCAUCUUGACAGAACAAUGACACUGACGUAUUUUAAGAUAUGUCAGAGCACGACGUUUUCAGUCGAGACCGCUCAAACAUGCAUUUUAGUUCGGGUCUAGUUUAAGCCUUGUCUGUGAAACUGGGGUUAUAUCUUUAUUUUGCAUGGAUCUUGAUUUAAGGAUGUUCUUAGAAUCAAGGCAAAAAUAUUGAGGAAGAUAUUAAGUUUUGCAGUGUACGCAACAUUUAAUGCCAUGGCUAUGAAUUUGAGAUUUUCGGCUUCUAUUUGAGACCUCUCUAAAGCCUUCAAAGACUUUUUAAGACCAGCAGAAAACCCAUACAUCCCAACAGACUUUUUUUUGCCAUGGUCUAAAUGUCUUGAUUAAAACCAGCUCUAUUUCCUCAAAGGGCAUAAGGGGGACAUGUUUGUGGGACUCAUGGGCAAGAGAUCUUCAGGAGGUGAUUUCAGAAGAACAAUCCCAGAGAGCAGCACAGCCAUGGACAAAUCUGGAGAUCUGAACAAACAAACAGGUAGAACACUGAAAGAAGAACUGUAUUUAUGCAAACAUGAUGAAAUGAACCAGCAGUUUAUAAAGUUGAAAUCAUGAUGUUUUUGACACGGCAGAUGUGCGAGAGGAAUGGAACAGACUGCAGUAUUACUGAUGACAUUAUCCAGCACUAUUACAGACUCCACCAGUCUUCGUGAAUCAAUAUACAAUAAUUCUUGACUCUUAGCUGGCACCAACAUUAGAAUUCAGAAGAACAUCAUUUGGGAGUAAUUUUAAGCAAGGAAAUGUCUUGCUUCAGGUAUCAAAUGUGAUGUAAUAAAAGUAUCAAACAG